UACGUAGGGGGCUAGCGUUGUCCGGAAUCAUUGGGCGUAAAGCGCGUGUAGGCGGCUCGGUAAGUCCGCUGUGAAAGUCGGGGGCUCAACCCUCGGAUGCCGGUGGAUACUGUCGGGCUAGAGUACGGAAGAGGCGAGUGGAAUUCCUGGUGUAGCGGUGAAAUGCGCAGAUAUCAGGAGGAAUACCAAUUGCGAAGGCAGCUCGCUGGGACGUUACUGACGCUGAGACGCGAAAGCGUGGGGAGCAAACAGG
rnacentral:rRNA from 1 species